CAAAUCCGCAGUCAGAGAGCAGCUUCCCCACUCCCCUCCAAGAGCCCCCUUUCUUGGUGGGGUUCAUGCCCUCCUGCAUCUGGGGGCUGCUGGGUCCUUGCUUGGAAGUAGCAGCUUUAUGGAGCUCCAGUGACGAGCCGACCACUCACCUGGAAUUCUUGGAGCAGCUCCUGGCUUUUCCUGCACUCCCGGGGCUUUGCUCCUGAUUCUGCAUCCUGCAAGAGAGGGUGAUGCAAGUCCUCGAGCAUCUAUCUCCUGCUCCUUGGAGCUCCGUAGACAUCUCCCUUCUCCUGUACAUGUUCCCUGGCCAUUGACGCCCACAGACAGGCAGAGGGUGAGCCACAAAGGCAGCGGUGGGAAGCUGAAGAAAAACCUGGCAGGAAACAAGAACCUUACCAGAUUAGCAAGUGACCAGAACCAAGACAUCAAAGGACCUGGAUAAAAGGGAGGAGAUCACUCGGGGGGGAGUUUAAAUACAGGCAGCUUAAGUGGCCACAGAGAGCUAGAUUGAGCGAUGAAAGAUGACCUCAGAGUCACAGCUCAGAGGCCCAGGGAGCAGCUGGCACGGGGAACCGGAGCUGUGGGAAGGGACAAGGGCUUUGCCUUCAGAGGAGGCGAGUCCUCAGGAGCAGGAGGGACCCCAGCUCACACCCCCUGCUUUUGUUUUUCGUCUUCAUUUUGAAAUAAUUACAGGUCCACAGGAUGUGGCCACAAAUAGCCCAUGAAGUCCUGCAGAGUCCUCACCUGUCUUUCUCCAGUGGUGACAUCCUGUACAAGGCAGUCUUUCAUUAAAGCAAAGAACUGGGCUCCACAACACUGUUAGGUCUCGUCCAAUUGUGUGUGUGUGUGUGUGUGUGUGUGAGUGUGUGUGUUGUGUAGUCCUGCCAUGUGUACGGUUAUGAUGUAAGCACCACAAUCAAGCUACAGAACCUUUUUUCCUCCUCCAAGGAGUGGUUUACAGUCUUACUUGACACUGGAGCUGCCUAUCUGUUUUCUGUCUCCCCGUGUUUGUCUUUUUGAGAAUGUGAGAUCAAUG
rnacentral:lncRNA from 1 species